rnacentral:rRNA from 1 species
AAUGUUUUCAUUAAUCAAGAACGAAAGUUAGAGGUUCGAAGGCGAUCAGAUACCGCCCUAGUUCUAACCGUAAACUAUGCCUACUAGAUGUAUGAAUUAUUAGUUAUAAUAAUUUAUGCAUCUUCUCGGAAACGAAAGUCUUUCGGUUCCGGGGGAAGUAUGGUUGCAAAGCUGAAACUUAAAGGAAUUGACGGAAGGGCACCACCAGGAGUGGAGCCUGCGGCUUAAUUUGACUCAACACGGGAAAACUCACCCGGGCCGGACACUAUAAGGAUUGACAGAUUGAUAGCUCUUUCAUGAUUUAGUGGUUGGUGGUGCAUGGCCGUUCUUAGUUCGUGGAUAUGAUUUGUCUGGUUGAUUCCGAUAACGAGCGAGACUUUUAUGUUAUAUUAAAUAUUAUUAUUUUGUUUAUUUUAAUAUAAAUAAUUAAUAUUUUAAUAACAGAUUAAUAGUGUUUAACUAUUUGAGAGAAAGCGAUAACAGGUCUGUGAUGCCCUUAGAUGUCCGGGGCUGCACGCGCGCUACAAUGUAGUGAUC